rnacentral:tRNA from 1 species
GCCCCCAUAGCUCAAUGGAUAGAGCUACUCCGUCCUAAGGAGCAGAUCCUGGUUCGAUUCCGGGUG